AGGGGUCAGCAAAUCCUCACUUUUUACUGGACUAACUUGCCACUUGCAACCGUUUUCUUCUUUCUCUAAAUGGAACUACCCGUGAGGGGAUGAAGUCACCGCAUGUUCCAGUGAGACGAGUCUCCAGGAUUUUCCGGCAACUUCGGUGGCAGUGUCAGGAGCCGUGAUCUCCAGAUUCUGGGCCAUUCUCACGCCUGGAAGAGGGAGAGCUGGGAGAGCAUCCAGAAAUUUGCUCCAGGCAUCUUGUUCCAUCCACAUCAGGAAGCUGGCUGCACAAAGUCUUCUCUGCAGACAUUUCUGUUUCCUUGGCAUGUGUCCUUUGGAUCGCUUUGUGGGUAAAAGGAAUGAUGGCUGGAGGCUGAGCAGCCACUGCAACCAUGAGGAUGAAACCCACACACGACAAAUGGGGGAAUAAACAGCCAAAGGUCCAGAGGUCCUUGAUGCCUACCUUCAACAUUUGUAACAGCUCUUCAUGGCUUGUCUCAAAACUUCUCCUUAACUAAGCAAAAUAAAAUCCACUUGGUUAAGACUUUGUGUUUUGAUUUCUCUUACAUGCAGCGAAAUGCACUUCUAACCAAUACUCUUUCAAAGCACAAUCUUCGCACCAUCACAAGGAAUGCUCCUGUCCGGCUCGUAGAACAAGAUUUUCUUUCCUCAUUUCACAACAUGAGGGAAUUGAGGCAGGUGGGAAGUCAUAAAGUGAGCAACUUCCCUUUUACCGAAUCAAAUUCUGCCUCUCAGCCCUUAGCUUCUGAAACCUCUCAGCAGUGUUUGAGCCACUGGCUACUUCCUCUCCCUUGAAAUUUUCUCCGUCUUUACUUCUGUGAUACUAUGUUUCCAUGCUUUGUUGUCCCACUUUCUAGGGUAUCUGAAAGGCUAUAUAAGAUUUUAACAGGGCACAGGUGGUGGAGCUAAGAGUUUAAAAUCCUUAGGUCGAAUGUAAAACUAACCCUUUAAUCCCUAAGGGUUGAAUCAAUGGAGUUUCAGUCAUUUCCAAAUUAUUUUCCCAUGUUUACUCUAUGGGUACUUAACUGUCCUUUAGAUAGUAGGUCAUUUAUUCGUUCAGUGAGUUUUUAUUAUGUGACUGCUGUGUGCCAGGUCUGUGAAAAGUAGUGUAAAAACAAACCC